GACGAACCGAGCGAACGUUGUUCGGAAUCACUGGGCUUAAAGGGCGCGUAGGCGGGCUGUCAAGUCUGGGGUGAAAUCCCUCGGCUUAACCGGGGAACUGCAUCCGAUACUGGAAGGCUUGAGUUUGGGAGAGGGAUGCGGAAUUCCAGGUGUAGCGGUGAAAUGCGUAGAUAUCUGGAGGAACACCGGUGGCGAAGGCGGCAUCCUGGACCAACACUGACGCUGAGGAGCGAAAGCCAGGGGAGCAAACGGG
rnacentral:rRNA from 1 species